rnacentral:tRNA from 1 species
UCCCUGGUGGCUCUGACGGUAAAGAAUCUACCUGCAAUGGAGGAGACCCAGGUUCGAUCCCUGGUCAGGAAG